rnacentral:tRNA from 1 species
GGAGCGUGUCGUCUAGUGGCCUAGGACGCCUCGGAAGACCAGCCUUUGGGCUGGAAUGGGGGUAAUCGAUGGUUCGACUCCAUCCACGCUCCACCA